rnacentral:rRNA from 1 species
UGAGGAAUAUUGGUCAAUGGACGGAAGUCUGAACCAGCCAAGUAGCGUGCAGGAAGACGGCCCUAUGGGUUGUAAACUGCUUUUGUAUGGGGAUAAAGUCAAUCACGUGUCACUGUUUGCAGGUACCAUACGAAUAAGGACCGGCUAAUUCCGUGCCAGCAGCCGCGGUAAUACGGAAGGUUCGGGCGUUAUCCGGAUUUAUUGGGUUUAAAGGGAGCGUAGGCCGGAGAUUAAGUGUGUUGUGAAAUGUAGACGCUCAACGUCUGACUUGCAGCGCAUACUGGUUUCCUUGAGUACGCACAACGUUGGCGGAAUUCGUCGUGUAGCGGUGAAAUGCUUAGAUAUGACGAAGAACUCCGAUUGCGAAAGCAUCUGACGGGAGCGCAACUGACGCUGAAGCUCGAAGGUGCGGGUAUCGAACAGGAUUAGAUACCCUGGUAGUCCGCACAGUAAACGAUGGAUGCCCGCUGUGGGUACCUAAUAGCAUCGGGUAAACGAAAGCAUUAAGCAUCUCACCUGGGGAGUACGCCCGCCACGGUG